CUAUUGUGUCUGUACUUCAUGACUACUCCAUCUGCACACUUGGUGCCCGGGAUGACGAUGGCCGUGAGUCUCCCAUGGCGACUGCCACCAGUGAGGGGCAGGAGGGCUGUCUGCAGGCAGGUGCGAUGGAGCCCAGCUCCUGUCACGUCUGCUGCCACCGACCUGGGCGUCCCACCCCUCCUGGGAGGAAGGAAGCCUCUCCUCCAUCUUGAGAGACCUGCCAGGCAGGGCCUAGUGCCCCCACUCAGCACCCCGCCACCAAAACAGGCUCCACAUGCUCACGGCACAACACCGCCCUCUGUCCUCUCCCACCCUCCGCCAUCCCUGUCGCCGCAUGUGCUGCUGUCUCCAUGCCACCAGUUCCAAGUGCUCCAUGGUCACACAUGUUCACAUGUGCACAUACAUGCGUUGGGGCUUUCUCUGCCACCCUGCUCAAGUCUCACACUAACGCUGCCUGUGUAUGCCCUACCUCCCCUAGGUAUGCGAGACCACCCACCCAUCCCCAUCACCGACCUGGCAGACAACAUCGAACGCCUCAAAGCCAAUGAUGGCCUCAAGUUCUCCCAGGAGUAUGAGUCCAUCGACCCUGGACAGCAGUUCACGUGGGAGAAUUCAAACCUGGAGGUGAACAAGCCCAAGAACCGCUAUGCGAAUGUCAUCGCCUAUGACCACUCUCGAGUCAUCCUUACCUCCAUCGAUGGUGUCCCCGGAAGUGACUACAUCAAUGCCAACUACAUCGAUGGCUACCGCAAGCAGAAUGCCUACAUCGCCACACAGGGCCCCCUGCCCGAGACCAUGGGCGAUUUCUGGAGAAUGGUGUGGGAACAGCGCACGGCCACUGUGGUCAUGAUGACACGACUGGAGGAGAAGUCCCGGGUAAAAUGUGAUCAGUACUGGCCAGCCCGUGGCACCGAGACCUAUGGCCUUAUUCAGGUGACCCUGUUGGACACAGUGGAGCUGGCCACAUAUACUGUGCGCACCUUCGCACUCCACAAGAGUGGCUCCAGUGAGAAGCGUGAGCUGCGUCAGUUUCAGUUCAUGGCCUGGCCAGACCAUGGAGUUCCUGAGUACCCAACUCCCAUCCUGGCGUUCCUACGACGGGUCAAGGCCUGCAACCCCCUAGACGCAGGGCCCAUGGUGGUGCACUGCAGCGCGGGCGUGGGCCGCACCGGCUGCUUCAUCGUGAUUGAUGCCAUGUUGGAGCGGAUGAAGCACGAGAAGACAGUGGACAUCUAUGGCCACGUGACCUGCAUGCGAUCACAGAGGAACUACAUGGUGCAGACGGAGGACCAGUACGUGUUCAUCCACGAGGCGCUGCUGGAGGCUGCCACGUGCGGCCACACAGAGGUGCCUGCCCGCAACCUCUAUGCCCACAUCCAGAAGCUGGGCCAAGUGCCUCCAGGGGAGAGUGUGACCGCCAUGGAGCUCGAAUUCAAGUUGCUGGCCAGCUCUAAGGCCCACACGUCCCGCUUCAUCAGCGCCAACCUGCCCUGCAACAAGUUCAAGAACCGGCUGGUGAACAUCAUGCCCUACGAAUUGACCCGUGUGUGUCUGCAGCCCAUCCGUGGUGUGGAGGGCUCUGACUACAUCAAUGCCAGCUUCCUGGAUGGUUAUAGACAGCAGAAGGCCUACAUAGCUACACAGGGGCCUCUGGCAGAGAGCACCGAGGACUUCUGGCGCAUGCUAUGGGAGCACAAUUCCACCAUCAUCGUCAUGCUGACCAAGCUUCGGGAGAUGGGCAGGGUGAGCCCACCCUUUCCCCCAGGGCCCCUGUCAUACCUGGGAGAACACCAGCCACCCUUGGGGGAGCUGCCGCCUAUGUUACUGUGUCCUUUCACACCCCAGCUGCUUGUCAGCAUGGCCUCCGGCACCCGUUAUUACCACCUGAGGCAUCUGUCCCAGAAUCCUGUGAAGCCUGGCACCCCUCCCCCAUUCCUUCUCACCUGAUUAUGGGGGCCCGACCCUCUGUCCACAGGAGAAAUGCCACCAGUACUGGCCAGCAGAGCGCUCCGCUCGCUACCAGUACUUUGUUGUUGACCCGAUGGCUGAGUACAACAUGCCCCAGUAUAUCCUGCGUGAGUUCAAGGUCACGGAUGCCCGGGAUGGGCAGUCAAGGACAAUCCGGCAGUUCCAGUUCACAGACUGGCCAGAGCAGGGCGUGCCCAAGACAGGCGAGGGAUUCAUUGACUUCAUCGGGCAGGUGCAUAAGACCAAGGAGCAGUUUGGACAGGAUGGGCCUAUCACGGUGCACUGCAGUGCUGGCGUGGGCCGCACCGGGGUGUUCAUCACUCUGAGCAUUGUCCUGGAGCGCAUGCGCUACGAGGGCGUGGUCGACAUGUUUCAGACUGUGAAGACCCUGCGUACACAGCGUCCUGCCAUGGUGCAGACAGAGGACCAGUAUCAGCUGUGCUACCGUGCGGCCCUGGAGUACCUCGGCAGCUUUGACCACUAUGCAACGUAACUACCGCUCCCCUCUCCUCCGCCACCCCCGCCGUGGGGCUCCGGAGGGGACCCAGCUCCUCUGAGCCAUACCGACCAUCGUCCAGCCCUCCUACGCAGAUGCUGUCACUGGCAGAGCACAGCCCACGGGGAUCACAGCGUUUCAGGAACAUUGCCACACCAAUCAGAGAGCCUAGAACAUCCCUGGGCAAGUGGGUGGCCCGGCAGGCAGGCACUGUGGCCCUUCUGUCCGCCAGGCCUGGAGCCCGCUUCAAGCUCUCUGUUGCGCUCCCGCGUUUCUCAUGCUUCUUCUCAUGGGGUGGGGUUGGGGCAAAGCCUCUUUUUUAAUACAUUAAGUGGGGUAGACUGAGGGAUUCUAGCCUCUUCCCUCUGAUUUUUCCUUUUGCGAAUCCGUAUCUGCAGAAUGGGCCACUGUAGGGGUUGGGGUUUAUUUUGUUUUGUUUUUUUUUGUUUUUUUUUUUGAGUUCACUUUGGAUCCUAUUUUGUAUGACUUCUGCUGAAGGACAGAACAUUGCCUUCCUCGUGCAGAGCUGGGGCUGCCAGCCUGAGCGGAGGCUCGGCUGUGGGCCGGGAGGCAGCGCUGAUCCGGCUGCUCCUCCAGCCCUUCAGACGAGAUCCUGUUUCAGCUAAAUGCAGGGAAACUCAAUUUUUUUUUAAGUUUUGUUUUCCCUUAAAAGCCUUUUUUUAGGCCACAUUGACAGUGGUGGGCGGGGAGAAGAUAGGGAACACUCAUCCCUGGUCGUCUAUCCCAGUGUGUGUUUAACAUUCACAGCCCAGAACCACAGACGUGUCUGGGAGAGCCUGGCAAGGCAUUCCUCAUCACCAUCGUGUUUGCAAAGGUUAAAAAAAAAACAAAAAACCAC
rnacentral:sRNA from 1 species